rnacentral:misc_RNA from 1 species
GAUGAAGAAUGCAGCGAAAUGCGAUAAGUAGUGUGAAUUGCAGAAUUCAGUGAAUCAUCGAAUCUUUGAACGCACAUUGCGCCCCUUGGUAUUCCAUGGGGCAUGCCUGUUCGAGCGUCAUUUGUACCUUCAAGCUCUGCUUGGUGUUGGGUGUUUGUCCUUGCUCUAGUGGCGGGACUCGCCUUAAAGUAAUUGGCAGCCAGUGUUUUGGUUUUGAAGCGCAGCACAAGUCGCGAUUCAAGUCUAUACGCUAGUUUCCACAAGUCUUUUAUCACUUUUGACCUCGGAUCAGGUAGGGAUACCCGCUGAACUUAAGCAUAUCAAUAAGCGGAGGA